rnacentral:rRNA from 1 species
UACAGAGGUCUCGAGCGUUGUUCGGAUUCAUUGGGCGUAAAGGGUGCGUAGGCGGUGAUGUAAGUUGGAUGUGAAAUCCCGGAGCUUAACUCCGGAACUGCAUUCAAUACUGCGUUGCUAGAGUGCUGGAGAGGAGAUUGGAAUUCACGGUGUAGCAGUGAAAUGCGUAGAUAUCGUGAGGAAGACCAGUGGCGAAGGCGAAUCUCUGGACAGUAACUGACGCUGAGGCACGAAGGCCAGGGGAGCAAACGGG